CAGUCGCCGCGGUAAUACGAAGGGUGCAAGCGUUACUCGGAAUUACUGGGCGUAAAGGGUGCGUAGGUGGUUUUUUAAGUCCGUUGUGAAAUCCCUGGGCUCAACCUGGGAAUGGCAGUGGAUACUGGAAAGCUAGAGUGCGGUAGAGGAUAGUGGAAUUUCCGGUGUCGCAGUGAAAUGCGUAGAGAUCGGAAGGAACAUCUGUGGCGAAGGCGACUAUCUGGGCCAACACUGACACUGAGGCACGAAAGCGUGGGGAGCAAACAGGAUUAGAUACCCCAGUAGUCCCUGUCUCUUAUAA
rnacentral:rRNA from 1 species